rnacentral:rRNA from 1 species
CAGUAGCCGCGGUAAUACAGAGGGUGCGAGCGUUAAUCGGAUUUACUGGGCGUAAAGCGUGCGUAGGCGGCUUUUUAAGUCGGAUGUGAAAUCCCUGAGCUUAACUUAGGAAUUGCAUUCGAUACUGGGAAGCUAGAGUAUGGGAGAGGAUGGUAGAAUUCCAGGUGUAGCGGUGAAAUGCGUAGAGAUCUGGAGGAAUACCGAUGGCGAAGGCAGCCAUCUGGCCUAAUACUGACGCUGAGGUACGAAAGCAUGGGGAGCAAACAGGAUUAGAUACCCUGUAGUCCCUGUCUCUUAUACA